rnacentral:rRNA from 1 species
UACGUAGGGGGCAAGCGUUGUCCGGAUUUAUUGGGCGUAAAGAGCUCGUAGGCGGUUUGUUGCGUCGGCUGUGAAAACCUGAGGCUCAACCUCAGGCCUGCAGUCGAUACGAGCAGACUAGAGUGUUGCAGGGGAGACUGGAAUUCCUGGUGUAGCGGUGAAAUGCGCAGAUAUCAGGAGGAACACCGGUGGCGAAGGCGGGUCUCUGGGCAACAACUGACGCUGAGGAGCGAAAGCGUGGGGAGCGAACAGG